rnacentral:rRNA from 1 species
GAAGAGCCCGCGGCCUAUCAGCUAGUUGGUGAGGUAACGGCCCACCAAGGCGAUGACGGGUAGCUGGUCUGAGAGGACGACCAGCCACACUGGGACUGAGACACGGCCCAGACACCUACGGGUGGCAGCAGUCGAGAAUUUUUCUCAAUGGGGGAAACCCUGAAGGAGCGACGCCGCGUGGAGGAUGAAGGUCUUCGGGUUGUAAACUCCUGUCAUUUGGGAACAAGGUGCGCGCGUUAACUGCGCGCGCAUUGAUAGUACCAGAAGAGGAAGAGACGGCUAACUCUGUGCCAGCAGCCGCGGUAAUACAGAGGUCUCAAGCGUUGUUCGGAUUCAUUGGGCAUAAAGGGUGCGUAGGCGGCGCGGUAAGUCGGGUGUGAAAUCUCGGGGCUUAACUCCGAAACUGCAUUCGAUACUGCCGUGCUUGAGGACUGGAGAGGAGACUGGAAUUUACGGUGUAGCGGUGAAAUGCGUAGAUAUCGUAAGG